CUAUUACCAAUCAUCAGCCUGAAGUGUGUUCAGUGUUUAUUUACUGACUGAAUGUGAAUCUGUGUGUGUUUACAGCCUGGAUCAUGGAGGAGAGAAGAUGAUUACAGCAGGACUGCACAAAUAUGCCUGUUUCCUCACACUGGAUCCAAACACAGCACACCCUGAACUCAAACUGUCUGAGGAGAACAGAAGGAUGACCCGAGUGAAAGAGAAACAGCCGUAUCCUGAUCAUCCAGACAGAUUUGAUCAUCAUGCUCAUGUGUUGUGCAGAGAGAGUGUGUGUGGACGCUGCUACUGGGAGAUUGAGAAGAGUGGAAAUGAUGUGUGGAUAUAGCAGUGUCAUAUAAGAGCAUCAGGAGGAAGGGAGGAGGUAACGAGAAUCAGCUUGGAGAAAAUAAUAAGUCCUGGAAUUUAAUCUUUGCUCCCUACAGUUUCUCAUUCAGACACAGUCACAUACAGAAUGGUCUCCCCAUGAAAGCGAUCAGCAGUAGAAUAGGAGUGUUUGUGGAUCACAGUGCAGGAACUCUGAUCUUCUACAACAUCUAUAGAGACACAACCAUCCGCGUAUACUCAGUCCAGACCACAUUCACUGAGCCGCUCUAUGCUGGGUUCUUGGCUUACUAUGGCUCAACAAUGAAACUGUGCUGAAGACCGACAGGAGAUUUACCUAUAACACACGUGUGUUACUUUCAGAAAUGUUACCAUAUACUGUUUAAUAUUAGUACUUCAUAUAAGAUUCAUACACUUAUGUUUAAUGAAAUUCUUUAUGAAGAAUUAAAAUGAAUUAUAAGAAGCCUUAUAAAGUUUUUUUUUAAUGUUCAUGUCUAUUUCUGUAUAAUCUUCCAUCUAUAGUGUUAAAGAAGCUGAAUACUGUGCUCUGCAGUUAAUCCAUCAUCACUGUGGUCAUCUGAGUAAUUCUGCUUCAUCUGAGCAUUAUUGUUUUACUGUAUUGAUGUGAAAUUAGCUUUAUGUGUUCCUCCAUCUUCAUCCGUCUUGCUGUUUUCUGGUCAUCAGAUAAGCAGAUCAGCUCUGUAGUGAAGUGAGGAGGUGUUCAGUCUGUCAGCUGAAGUCCAGCUCUUCCUGCCCCAUGAGCAGUUUAUAAGAGUCAUUCAUGUGUGUUGGAUCAGAUCAGUCGACUGUUCAAUGUGUACACGUAUAGUCCAGACUGAGUUUAUCUACUAAAUGUGACUAAUAGUGUGUCAUUUCCCCAGUUCUAGUGGAGCUCUACCAGCUCUGUGCCUCUGAUUCUUCAAUAUGAGAGAAUCAUUCAGUCUGUCAGAGCUUCAGCCUCCACUAAACCACCAUUGAUUUAUUUUACUCCUGAUUAUCAGUGGAUUAUUCUGUUAUUAUCUGCUUUAUUUGUAGCUGUGAAAGAGAAACUGAUCCUCAAUAAAGCUCAUGUUUCAUGAUA